rnacentral:rRNA from 1 species
UACCAGCACCCCGAGUGGUCGGGACGUUUAUUGGGCCUAAAGCAUCCGUAGCCGGUUCUACAAGUCUUCCGUUAAAUCCAUCUGCUUAACAGAUGGGCUGCGGAAGAUACUAUAGAGCUAGGAGGCGGGAGAGGCAAGCGGUACUCAGUGGGUAGGGGUAAAAUCCUCUGAUCCAUUGAAGACCACCAGUGGCGAAGGCGGCUUGCCAGAACGCGCUCGACGGUGAGGGAUGAAAGCUGGGGGAGCAAACCGG